UACGUAGGGGGCAAGCGUUGUCCGGAAUCAUUGGGCGUAAAGCGCGUGUAGGCGGGUCGGUAAGUCCGCUCUGAAAGCCCGGGGCUCAACCCCGGGAGGCGGGUGGAUACUGUCGACCUCGAGUCCGGAAGAGGCGAGUGGAAUUCCUGGCGUAGCGGUGAAAUGCGCAGAUAUCAGGAGGAACACCAAUGGCGAAGGCAGCUCGCUGGGACGGUACUGACGCUGAGACGCGAAAGUGUGGGGAGCGAACAGG
rnacentral:rRNA from 1 species